GUAACAAGGUCUCCGUUGGUGAACCAGCGGAGGGAUCAUUACUGAGUGUAAAAACUCCCAAACCCACUGUGAACCUACCACUGUUGCUUCGGCGGACCCGCCCCGGGCGCCUCCCCCCAGGGGGUGGUGCCCCGGACCUAGGCGGCCGCCGGGGACCCAAACCUCUGUAUUUUAUGAGUAUUCUCUGAGUGUGAUUUACCAAAUCAAAUCAAAACUUUCAACAACGGAUCUCUUGGCUCUGGCAUCGAUGAAGAACGCAGCGAAAUGCGAUAAGUAAUGCGAAUUGCAGAAUUCAGUGAAUCAUCGAAUCUUUGAACGCACAUUGCGCCCGCCAGUAUUCUGGCGGGCAUGCCUGUCUGAGCGUCAUUUCAACCCCUYGCAACCGGUUCGCGUUCGCGCGGCCGGGGGCGGUGUUGGAGAUCGGCCGCCCCCGCCGUGGGUGGCCGGCUCCCAAAUACAGUGGCGACCGCGCCGUAGCCUCCUCUGCGUAGUAGUAACUCACCUCGCGGGUCGGAGAGCGGCGCGGAUCCUGCCGUAAAACCCCCCCAACUUCUCAAGGUUGACCUCAGAUCAGGUAGGAAUACCCGCUGAACUUAAGCAUAUCAAUAA
rnacentral:sRNA from 1 species